GACGAACGCUGGCGGCGUGCUUAACACAUGCAAGUCGAGCGGUAAGGCCCUUUCGGGGGUACACGAGCGGCGAACGGGUGAGUAACACGUGGGUGACCUGCCCUCAGCUCUGGGAUAAGCCUGGGAAACUGGGUCUAAUACCGGAUAUGGCUUCACAUCGCAUGGUGUGUUGUGGAAAGUUUUUUCGGCUGGGGAUGGGCCCGCGGCCUAUCAGCUUGUUGGUGGGGUGAUGGCCACCAAGGCGACGACGGGUAGCCGGCCUGAGAGGGCGACCGGCCACACUGGGACUGAGACACGGCCCAGACUCCUACGGGAGGCAGCAGUGGGGAAUAUUGCGCAAUGGGCGGAAGCCUGACGCAGCGACGCCGCGUGGGGAUGACGGCC
rnacentral:rRNA from 1 species